CAUGCUUCAAGGCAGCAAAUCACAUAACAAUCAACCCUAAGUUUUGCAAACAGAUUUGUUUAUUCAUUUAUUAAUUCUUCAUUUUGCAUUCCAUAAUUUUUCAGCCCUUGGCAGGUCCCCAGUAAAAGUACACAGUGUUUGUUGUCCAGAAUGCUGUUCUGUGAUUGCCCAUCUGAAUGAUAUGGCAAGAGUUUUAAUCUGCCUGGUGCAAUUACCAAAAGAGAAAGAUAGAAGUAUAAUCAAUUGGGAUAUGGGGAUAUGUUCCUUUUUUUAUUAUUUUUUUUUCUUUUUUUUCUUCUUCAAACAAUGAACUUCCUACAACUUUUCAAGCUGAUGCAGACAUCUAGAUAAAUUUUAUUUACAUAGAUAUCUUUAUGGCAAAAGACCAAACUUGACCUUUCUCAGCAGCCUUUCCUGGAACUUUCACAAUUAGGCUGUGCACCGUAUUCUAGGUCUGUCCUGGUAAAUUAGGUGUUUCUAGUGCUGUUCUUUAACACUGAGCACAACUCAGUUCACACAAAUAACAUUUCUCUCUGUCUAGAGCUCAGUGGCUGUAUGUAAAGUGAUGGCUGAGACUGGCUUCCUGCCCAUGAAAACUUCCAGUCUAUUCUGGGACCUGUUUGUAAGACUAAGAGUCAGCCCAGAUGUAAGCAGAAGUGACCUUCAAGAUGGGGAGCCUCAUUGGAUUUACCACCUGGUCCACCAAUGGCCUACAGACCAAUAUUUAAAGUGUCCAGAACACAGUUUGGUAGUAAGUACAAUUUUAGCAGAAAUUUAAUCAACCUGCCCCUGUUAAAUAUUUAUCCAAUUAUGCAAGUGACAAGCGAAAAAUGGAUGAAUUCCUUUUAACGUAAUAUAAAAUAGCACAUAGCAGAAGGGAAUUUUAUCAUUAAAGAUAUAAUGAGAUCAUGAACACCUCCAAAGGGGUGAGUUAAUCAAAUAAGGCCAUAAUAUGACAAGCAGCCUGUCAGAAGAAAUUCUAUUUUCUGCAGUACGCGAGUUGCAUUUGAGUUAAUAAUUGAGUCGCAUAACCACCCUACCAACCUUGUUAGAGGAUGUCACACUCAGCCUUGCUGAUGAAGGAGGACAAAAGUGGAUGGUUUGAAAGGGGAAUUCCCAGAGCUGAUAUUGACAGUGGGUGCAAUUACAGGAACUGCUGACUCUGACAGAUACAGACCUUUCCCUCAGGUGUACGUAGUAUGCACCAAAAUAAUUGUGCCCCAGGCAUUAAGUGCAUCUAUACACAUGCAUGCUUGAAGAACUAGCUGUUUAGGGAGAACAGUCUGAAGCAUGUUGCUGAAGAGACUCAAGAUAUAUACCUUUUUCUGAGAAGAAAGAAUUUAAGUCCCCUACCCUUAGCUGGUCCAAAAUCUUACAGCUCCACUGGCAUCAGCCAAGCUCUCGUGAUUUACACAGGCUAAUGCUUUGUCUCACAGUAUGUAAUCUUUUUCCAUUAAUAUUUACCUGCUGUUCCAUAAUGACUACAAAAUGCCUGACAAUAGCUAGACAGUGGGAGUUCUGUGACUGCCACUUACUACACAAAUCAUAAUCUAGCUACUGGUACCUUGUGCUUCCUCCAUUUUUCUGUCACAUCCAUCUGGUGUCCCUCCCACACAGACUAAGAGUAGACACUGCCUCCAAGUGCAGUUAUCCUGCAUUGGGGAUGAAAAUAGUAUUGCAAGAGCAAUAGUCAAAAAUUAGCAUGUGAUUUCUAAUAGCAGCAACAUGAGAGCAUAGAGGCUCCCUCCCUCCAGAAGCUUAAGGCAUUUGGAAUAAUUUGCAAGUUGUGUUUUGUAGAAUAACAAAUGAAAGGUACUGAGAGAUCAAAGGAUUAGCCUGUGAUCAUACUAUUGGCAGACCUUCUUCCAGAUGUAAAAGGAAAAAAAAAUUAAAAAGGGAAAUUCAUUUCAUUGUUAAGAAUAACUUAACUACAGGUAAAAAAUACUAUCAAGUCUAAAGCUGUACAGAAGCUGUCAUAAUAAAUCAUGAAUCCUGUCAAAUGUCA
ensembl:lncRNA